AUUGAACGCUGGCGGCAUGCCUUACACAUGCAAGUCGAACGGCAGCACGGGAGCAAUCCUGGUGGCGAGUGACGAACGGGUGAGUAAUGUAUCGGAACGUACCUUUCAGUGGGGGAUAACGUAGCGAAAGUUACGCUAAUACCGCAUAUUCUGUGAGCAGGAAAGCAGGGGAUCGCAAGACCUUGCGCUGAUCGAGCGGCCGAUAUCAGAUUAGCUAGUUGGUGAGGUAAAGGCUCACCAAGGCGACGAUCUGUAGCGGGUCUGAGAGGAUGAUCCGCCACACUGGAACGUAGAGACACGGUCCGA
rnacentral:rRNA from 1 species